GUCCGGGUGGCGGAAUGGUAGACGCGCUAGCUUGAGGUGCUAGUGCCUAUUUUAUACAGGCGUGUGGGUUCAAGUCCCAUCCCGGACACCG
rnacentral:tRNA from 2 species